rnacentral:lncRNA from 1 species
ACCCUUUUUGAGAACCCGAAAAUUUAUCCAUCUAUCUCUCUUAUUUUCCUUAAAAAAAAUAGAGAGAAAGCUCCCAAAUUUUCACUUAGACCCGCGCCACCUUCAUCGGAGAUCCGGCGCGUCGAGGCUGCCGACGUCGGGAGUUCGUCGGUAAGUCCCCUCUCUCCCUCUCUUGUUUUUUUUUUAAAAACCGUUUGAAAAAAAUUGAAAAGGAAACAAAACAAACGAAAUCCAAAUCAAGAGAAAAUUUCAAAAAAAAUGAAAUUUUGCUUGUUUGUAGGUUCAGUCGAGCACGUCUCUAAUGUGGGCUAGUAGAGGAGCGCACGACGCGGAGGGACGCGAGAUGUGCGGUGCUUGGGAACCUCCACGGUUGCGGCGGCUGAGGGUGUUAGCUGCUAGGGUUUUCAUUUUCUUUAAUUUUGCUGGGCUGUUAGGGUUGUUUUGGGUUUAAGUCUGAUGGGUUUAGGGUUUGGGUAAUGGUUUGUAUUGCUAAUUGUUUUGGGUUUUAAAUGUAUUGGGCCUGGGCAUAAAUUGGGCUUAACAAUGUCAAUAGGGGAAAAUAAAUAGAAUGAUAUUAUGAUUGGAACUGAAAAGUAUUGAACGUGAAAUGGAAUUAAGACAAAUGAAAUAUGCACUUUAUUGUGAAAAACUAUUUGAGAUAGCAAUUGAUGAGAAAUUGGAAAUGUC